GACGAACGCUGGCGGCGUGCCUAAUACAUGCAAGUCGAACGCAGUGGGGACGGGUGAGUAACACGUGGGUAACCUCCCAUCAGAGGGGAUAACACUUGGAAACAGGUGCUAAACCGAUACUGAUGGAUGGACCAGCGGUGCAUUAGCUAGUUGGUGAGGUAACGGCUCACCAAGGCCACGAUGCAUAGCCGACCUGAGAGGGUGAGCGUCCACACUGUGACUGAUACACGGCCCAGACACCUACGGGAGGCAGCAGGAGGGAAUCUUCGUCGAUGGACGAAAGUCUGACCGAGCAACGCCGCGUGAGUGAAGAGGUUGUUCGGAUCGUAAAACUCUGGUGUUAGAGAAGCGGUAGCUAACCAGAAAGCCACGGCUAACUACGUGCCAGCAGCCGCGGUAAUAC
rnacentral:rRNA from 1 species